ensembl:lncRNA
UACAGAUGGAAGAUUGACGUUUCUGUCUCAGCUCCACCAUUUGCUACUGUGUGCUGUUGGCUGUGUUUGUUUUAAUGUCUCCAAGGCUUGGUUUCUCCAACAGUGAUAUGGAGAUUAUAAUACCUACCCUUAGGGCUACUUCCAGAAUUAAAUGCUAGUAUAUAUGCUAGCUCUGGGCCUGUUUUCCCUCAGACCCAUUCCUUCACGUUUCCUGUUCUGCCUCGCAUGGCAGGGCCCCUGACCCUGGCUGAGUUCAGCCAAUGGGAACUUGGGAGAAGGUAUUUCUUUCCCUCUCUUUCUGCCUCAGGCAGCUUCUCCAGCAACCUCUUCCUCUCUGCCAUUUCUCCAGUCUCCUCUGGAAAGCCCUUAAUACUGCAGCUCCCACAAUGGCCUCCUCCCUUUGUCCCUUCAGCCUCAAGGUUACCUCACUGUCACCUGUCCAGCUUCUCAGCUCACCAUCACCUGUGUAGCCAGUCCCCUUCAUUGAAUUCCCUUGCAUAUAAAUGCCCGAGAUGCUUUCUGUUUUCCUGGUUGGACCUUGGUUGGUAAAGUGUGUGAGCGUGUAAAUGUGUUGCACACCGAGGUGGAGACAGACCUCCUGAAGAUCACAUUCCACAAGGUGCAAGGGGGCAGGGCUGCUCACCUGGUUCUUUUCACUCUAAGCAUCAGAUCCUGGACGUGGACCGUAAGGUCAGGAUCUUCCUGAGCCAGCUGUCAAUCUGAAACAAUUUCCACAGGGGUUCUUCAACUUGGGAUUUUAUAAAGACAGAAACAUGGGAUAAGAAGUAUAUAUGUUUUUAUCAUGUAUUAGCUAAAAAAUAUAUACUGUAAUAAAACGUACCCAGGGGACUUCAGGUGUGCCUUUCAUUUACUCUUUGCUAAGGAAGCUACAAGCAGUGUGGUCUGGUGUGUCUAGACUCUUCUAGAUUUUGUGGACCUUUUUCUGAGUCUCCCGCUAUUCCUGUUCCACACCUGGUAGCAUUGUCUUGUUUCCCAGCCUGUGCUCCGUUUCAGUGAGGGAGCCAUGAGUGUUAUCUUAUCUCUGCACUGCUAAAGGAGGUUGUCUCCAUCAACCUCCUGCCCAUCCCUUCCCAGGUUUUGCUCUGCCCUCUGUGCUGUUUGUCUCUGUCUGCCCUCUGUCUUCUGGUUCUGCUGUGCUGUGGGGAUGGAGAAAGUUCUACUCCACUCCUUUUGGCAGGAAGAGUAACUUCCUCAUUGAGGUCAGAAUUGAAAAUGGAUUUCCCCAUUGGGCAGAGAGAAGGAGGCCCACACUUCCUGUGCAGUGUUAUUAAUCGGAGCCCCUCCCCUGCCUGUGACUGCCCAGGCUCAGGCCGGGCCCUGCUUAACCGUUUCCUGCCCAACAUUGUGAAGACCCAAAGGAACUGUGCGAGCUAUAAAGUGCUUUCUAUUUAAUUGUUAUACUUUGCGGGCCAUCACUCUUUGGGUGUGGAGAUACCUGCUGUGUGGGGAGAGCCCAAUGGCCAGGGUAUCCCACAGGAGAGGAAAGCUGAGUCCAGCGGGAGAGGGGCAGGGGCAGAGGAAGUUAGAACAGCAGUGCCCUUGCCUGAGGAGCGCAUUUAGUACAUUUUUCUCCCUCCCGUCCCCACAGGCAGAAGUAUAUUUCAUCUCAAACUGACAGGCCUUCAAAGACAUUCUUUAUGGAUGCUGGCCUCCCUGGAGGGGUGGGGCUUCAGAUCCCUGACAGUCCCAGCCCUAGGACGGUGUCGGAAAGUCACAUGCUGCUCACGAGGUCUGCGCUGCCCCUCCUGACCUCCGGAAGCAGCACCCUUUGUGCGCCUGGUGAACCCAUCUUUCCAGACAACUCCAGCGUCCCCUCCCCUGGGAAGCCUUCAGGGAUGAAGCCCCCAGGCAGUCACCCACUCCCUCCUCAUUUCUCCCAUAGCGUUUGCUGUCCUUUGCUACACCGUUUAUUCUCUUGUCUAUGUUCUCAGUGGGACUGUGGGCUCUUUGAGCGAAAGAAGCUUUUUUUGUCGGUACUGGGUGCACAAUAGGUCUCAAUAAAUCUUAGACCCCAUGUCACCUUGUUUAGUGAUUCUCAAACAUAAGUGCAUAAGAAUUACCUGAAAAAUGGAUUAAAACGCAGAUCCCAG